rnacentral:misc_RNA from 1 species
UUUCCGUUGGUGAACCUGCGGAAGGAUCAUUAAAGAGAAUAUGCCCUUAGGGGUGGGUCUCCCACCCUUUGUCUAUUUUUCCUUUGUUGCUUUGGCAGGCCCGUCUUCGGACCACCGGCUUUGGCUGGUCAGUGCUUGCCAGAGUACCCAAAACUCUUCUUAUUAAUUUCGUAUGAGUACGAUAUAAUAGUUAAAACUUUCAACAACGGAUCUCUUGGUUCUG